UACGGAGGAUCCGAGCGUUAUCCGGAUUUAUUGGGUUUAAAGGGAGCGUAGGCGGAAGCUUAAGUCAGUUGUGAAAGUUUGCGGCUCAACCGUAAAAUUGCAGUUGAUACUGGGUUUCUUGAGUGCAGUAGAGGUAGGCGGAAUUCGUGGUGUAGCGGUGAAAUGCUUAGAUAUUAGGAGGAACACCAGUGGCGAAGGCGGCUCACUGGACUGUAACUGACGUUGAGGCUCGAAAGCGUGGGGAGCAAACAGG
rnacentral:rRNA from 1 species